UUUUUUAAAAAAAAAAAUUUGAAAGGGGAGGUGACCAGCUGGAAAGGUAAAUUGGAUGUGAAUGAAACGAAGUAUCAAUGAUAAUGGUGGUGUUGGAAAUGGAUGGAGAUAAAUGGUCUAAUUAUUCCAGAUUUGCCAAGUUAUUCCGGGACCUCCGAAACCAGGUACGAGCUAUGGUCAAUUUGGGGGCCGGCCCUCCCUGGGAAUCUGUUUUCAUGGAUGAAUAAUUUAUUUGAUUGACAAUCCAUCACCGAUCCAAUGUAGGCUUUGCGUUGCGUUUGCGUUCACGUAGGAUGGAUGUUAGUUUCGGCGUGAGGGUUAGUCCUUUGAGGCAACUGCAUCUAUGCACCUCAAUUAUUGUUUAUCAAUGAUCCCAGAUAUUUUCUAAAUUUGUUAAUUUUAUUUCAAUAAACUUGAUGAUAAUCCAGGAACAAUUUUGGAAUUGG
rnacentral:misc_RNA from 1 species